GAUGAACGCUGACAGAAUGCUUAACACAUGCAAGUCAACUUGAACUUCGGUUUGGGUGGCGGACGGGUGAGUAACGCGUAAAGAACUUGCCUCACAGAUAGGGACAACAUUUGGAAACGAAUGCUAAUACCUGAUAUUAUGAUUAUAUGGCAUCGUAUAAUUAUGAAAGCUAUAUGCGCUGUGAGAGAGCUUUGCGUCCCAUUAGCUAGUUGGAGAGGUAACGGCUCACCAAGGCGAUGAUGGGUAGCCGGCCUGAGAGGGUGAUCGGCCACAAGGGGACUGAGACACGGCCCUUACUCAUACGGGAGGCAGCAGUGGGGAAUAUUGGACAAUGGACCAAGAGUCUGAUCCAGCAAUUCUGUGUGCACGAUGAAGUUUUUCGGAAUGUAAAGUGCUUUCAGUUGGGAAGAAAAAAAUGACGGUACCAACAGAAGAAGUGACGGCUAAAUACGUG
rnacentral:rRNA from 1 species